UACGGGGGAGCAAGCGUUGUUCGGAUUUACUGGGCGUAAAGGGCGCGUAGGCGGCGCAACAAGUCACUUGUGAAAUCUCCGGGCUUAACCCGGAGCGGCCAAGUGAUACUGUCGUGCUAGAGUGCGGAAGGGGCUACUGGAAUUCUCGGUGUAGCGGUGAAAUGCGUAGAUAUCGAGAGGAACACCUGCGGCGAAGGCGGGUAGCUGGGCCGACACUGACGCUGAGGCGCGAAAGCCAGGGGAGCGAACGGG
rnacentral:rRNA from 1 species